CUACGGGGGGCUCCAGUGAGGAAUAUUGCACAAUGGGGGGAACCCUGAUGCAGCAACGCCGCGUGGAGGAUGACGCAUUUCGGUGUGUAAACUCCUUUUAUAUGUCAAGAAAAUGACGGUAGCAUAUGAAUAAGCACCGGCUAACUCCGUGCCAGCAGCCGCGGAAUACGGGAGGGUGCAAGCGUUACUCGGAAUCACUGGGCGUAAAGGACGCGUAGGCGGGUUGGAAAGUCAGGUGUGAAAUCCUACAGCUUAACUGUAGAACUGCACUUGAAACUUCUAAUCUAGAGUAUGGGAGGGGGAGAUGGAGUUAGUGGUGUAGGGGUAAAAUCCGUAGAUAUCACUAGGAAUACCUAAAGCGAAGGCGAUCUCCUGGAACAUUACUGACGCUAAGGCGUGAAAGCGUGGGGAGCAAACAGGAUUAGAUACCCUUGUAGUC
rnacentral:rRNA from 1 species